rnacentral:rRNA from 1 species
GAUGAACGCUAGCGGCAGGCUUAAUACAUGCAAGUCGUGGGGCAGCAGGUUUGUAGCAAUACAGAUGCUGGCGACCGGCAAACGGGUGCGGAACACGUACAGAACCUUCCUUUGAGCGGGGAAUAGCCCAGAGAAAUUUGGAUUAAUACCCCAUAGUAUAAUGAAGUGGCAUCACUUUAUUAUUAAAGAUUUAUCACUCGAAGAUGGCUGUGCGGCUGAUUAGGUAGUUGGCGGGUAAAGGCCCACCAAGCCUGCGAUCAGUAACUGGUGUGAGAGCACGACCAGUCACACGGGCACUGAGACACGGGCCCGACUCCUACGGGAGGCAGCAGUAAGGAAUAUUGGUCAAUGGAGGCAACUCUGAACCAGCCAUGCCGCGUGGAGGAUGAAGGUCCUCUGGAUUGUAAACUCUUUUAUAUUGGGACGAAAAAAGGCUUUCUAAGUCGUCUGACGGUACCAUAUGAAUAAGCACCGGCUAACUCCGUGCCAG